AGAGUUUGAUCCUGGCUCAGGACGAACGCUGGCGGCGUGCCUAAUACAUGCAAGUCGAGCGCGGGAAACUUUUCAGAUCUCUUCGGAGUGACGAAUUGUGGAACGAGCGGCGGAUGGGUGAGUAACACGUGGGCAACCUGCCUGUAAGAUCGGGAUAACUUGCGGAAACGCGAGCUAAUACCGGAUAAAGCUUCACAUCUCCUGAUGUGUUGAUGAAAGACGGCUCUGCUGUCACUUACAGAUGGGCCCGCGGCGCAUUAGCUAGUUGGUGGGGUAAAGGCCUACCAAGGCGACGAUGCGUAGCCGACCUGAGAGGGUGAUCGGCCACACUGGGACUGAGACACGGCCCAGACUCCUACGGGAGGCAGCAGUAGGGAAUCUUCCGCAAUGGACGAAGGUCUGACGGAGCAACGCCGCGUGAGUGAUGAAGGUUUUCGGAUCGUAAAACUCUGUUGUCAGGGAAGAACAAGUUUGAGAGUAACUGCUCAGACCUUGACGGUACCUGACCAGAAAGCCACGGCUAACUACGUGCCAGCAGCCGCGGUAAUAC
rnacentral:rRNA from 1 species